rnacentral:rRNA from 1 species
AUUGAACGCUGGCGGCAUGCCUUACACAUGCAAGUCGAACGGCAGCACGGGAGCAAUCCUGGUGGCGAGUGGCGAACGGGUGAGUAAUAUAUCGGAACGUGCCCAGUAGUGGGGGAUGGCCCGGCGAAAGCCGGAUUAAUACCGCAUGAGACCUGAGGGUGAAAGCGGGGGAUCGCAAGACCUCGCGCUAUUGGAGCGGCCGAUAUCAGAUUAGCUAGUUGGUGGGGUAAAGGCCUACCAAGGCAACGAUCUGUAGUUGGUCUGAGAGGACGACCAGCCACACUGGGACUGAGACACGGCCCAGACUCCUACGGGAGGCAGCAGUGGGGAAUUUUGGACAAUGGGCGCAAGCCUGAUCCAGCAAUGCCGCGUGCAGGAAGAAGGCCUUCGGGUUGUAAACUGCUUUUGUCAGGGAAGAAAUCCUCUGGGUUAAUACCUCGGGGGGAUGACGGUACCUGAAGAAUAAGCACCGGCUAACUACGUGCCAGCAGCCGCCGUAAAAC